GAUGAACGCUAGCGGCAGGCUUAAUACAUGCAAGUCGAGGGGCAGCAUGACUGUAGCAAUACAGUUGAUGGCGACCGGCAAACGGGUGCGGAACACGUACAGAACCUUCCUUCGAGCGGGGAAUAGCCCAGAGAAAUUUGGAUUAAUACCCCAUAGUACAACGGAGUGGCAUCACUUUGUUGUUAAAGAUUUAUCACUUGAAGAUGGCUGUGCGGCUGAUUAGGUAGUUGGCGGGGUAACGGCCCACCAAGCCUGCGAUCAGUAACUGGUGUGAGAGCACGACCAGUCACACGGGCACUGAGACACGGGCCCGACUCCUACGGGAGGCAGCAGUGAGGAAUAUUGGUCAAUGGACGAAAGUCUGAACCAGCCAUGCCGCGUGGAGGAUGAAGGUCCUCUGGAUUGUAAACUUCUUUUAUAUGGGACGAAAAAAGGGUUUUCUAACUCGUCUGACGGUACCAUAUGAAUAAGCACCGGCUAACUCCGUGCCAGCCGCCGCAGUAAAAC
rnacentral:rRNA from 1 species